AGUGAACGCUGGCGGUAUGCCUAACACAUGCAAGUCGAACGGCAGCACAGUAAGAGCUUGCUCUUACGGGUGGCGAGUGGCGGACGGGUGAGGAAUACAUCGGAAUCUACUUUUUCGUUGGGGAUAACGUAGGGAAACUUACGCUAAUACCGCAUACGACCUACGGGUGAAAGCAGGGGAUCUUCGGACCUUGCGCGUUUGAAUGAGCCGAUGUCGGAUUAGCUAGUUGGCGGGGUAAAGGCCCACCAAGGCGACGAUCCGUAGCUGGUCUGAGAGGAUGAUCAGCCACACUGGAACUGAGACACGGUCCAGACUCCUACGGGAGGCAGCAGUGGGGAAUAUUGGACAAUGGGCGCAAGCCUGAUCCAGCCAUACCGCGUGGGUGAAGAAGGCCUUCGGGUUGUAAAGCCCUUUUGUUGGGAAAGAAAAGCAGCAGGUUAAUACCCCGCUGUUCUGACGGUACCCAAAGAAUAAGCACCGGCUAACUUCGUG
rnacentral:rRNA from 1 species